rnacentral:rRNA from 1 species
GCAGUAGCCGCGGGAAUACGUAGGGUGCAAGCGUUAAUCGGAAUUACUGGGCGUAAAGCGUGCGCAGGCGGUUAUAUAAGACAGAUGUGAAAUCCCCGGGCUCAACCUGGGAACUGCAUUUGUGACUGUAUAGCUAGAGUACGGCAGAGGGGGAUGGAAUUCCGCGUGUAGCAGUGAAAUGCGUAGAUAUGCGGAGGAACACCGAUGGCGAAGGCAAUCCCCUGGGCCUGUACUGACGCUCAUGCACGAAAGCGUGGGGAGCAAACAGGAUUAGAUACCCCCGUAGUCCCUGUCUCUUACAC